ensembl:lncRNA novel transcript
ACACUUAGCCUGUUCAAGUUGUCUCUUCAAUUAGAUGCUCGCAUAACAUUUGGUGCCGAAAGCCCGGGAUAGGGGAACUCCUCCGGCAGACCUCUCCUCUAUCCUCCCGGUACCCACGUUCUCCCAUGCAAGAGACUUCCCUCGCCCUCAGGACCUCAGACCAGCUCCGCGAGCACUCCGGCCUCUGUCUAUGGAUAUGGUGUUCAAUAAUAGGGAAGAGACUGCCCGGCGACAGCGCAUUUCAGAACUACAGAUGCUUGCCUCCGCCAUAAGACAAACCCCAGCUGCACUGCCUACCUGCAAGAACUUCAAGGCAUCUAAACGCAACAUCCAACAGCCCCUCUGGGACUUUGCUUCAAGCGAUGAAAACCUGGCCACUGGGCCAAGGAAUGCCUGCAGCCUGGGAUUCCUCCUAAGCCAUGCCCCGCCUGUGCGGGCCCUCACUGGAAGUCUGACUGCCCGACUCUCAUCGCCACUUCCGGAGCUCCUGGAGCUCAAACCCAAAGCUCCCCACCGACUCCUUCCCAGAUCUCCUCGGCUUGGCGGCUGAAGACUGACGCUGCCCGAACGUCUCGGAGGCCCCUUAGACAAUCGCGGAUGCCGAGCUUCGGGUAACUCUUAGGGUGGAGGGCUAGACAUAAAAUCUGCCAAGCUGCCAAUUUCCUGUUACCUACUCCAGAGACCCAGUGAUAUGAAGACACCCUAGCUGGACUGUCAGUUCUCGUUAAGAACCUAACCCCUCAAACUCUACAACCUCUGUGGACAGGAUCCUACCUGGUCAUCUAUAGUACCCCAACAGUGCAUAAAAAGACAGGAAUGUAAGGUCCUCUGAGCAGGCGGCGCCAUGGUCAAGCCAUCGUGACCCCUGUGACUCACACGUACACAUCCAGAAGGUCUCCUGGAGCCAGAAAGUCUGGGACGACAGGAAAACCACAAAAGAAGAAAAACGGCUAGUUCCUGUCUUAGCUGAUCAGCCAACCUUGUGACAUUCUAUCAUUGUAACAGGCUGUACCCUAACUGAUCAAUCAACCUCAUGACACUGUGCUCUGUAACCUUAUGAUAAUGUACCUUAUGACAUUCUUCCCCUGCCCUCAAUAAACAGCUCCGAACU